CUACGGGCGGCUGCAGUAGGGAAUCUUAGACAAUGGGGGAAACCCUGAUCUAGCCAUGCCGCGUGAGUGAUGAAGGCCUUAGGGUUGUAAAGCUCUUUCGCUGGGGAAGAUAAUGACGGUACCCAGUAAAGAAACCCCGGCUAACUCCGUGCCAGCAGCCGCGGUAAUACGGAGGGGGUUAGUGUUGUUCGGAAUUACUGGGCGUAAAGCGCGCGUAGGCGGGCUAUUAAGUCAGGGGUGAAAUCCCGGGGCUCAACCCCGGAACUGCCUUUGAUACUGGUAGUCUUGAGUUCGAGAGAGGUGAGUGGAAUUCCGAGUGUAGAGGUGAAAUUCGUAGAUAUUCGGAGGAACAUCAGUGGCGAAGGCGACUCACUGGCUCGAUACUGACGCUGAGGUGCGAAAGUGUGGGGAGCAAACAGGAUUAGAUACCCGAGUGUC
rnacentral:rRNA from 1 species